UACGUAGGGUGCAAGCGUUAAUCGGAAUUACUGGGCGUAAAGCGUGCGCAGGCGGUUGUGUAAGGCAGAUGUGAAAUCCCCGGGCUCAACCUGGGAACUGCAUUUGUGACUGCACAGCUGGAGUGCGGCAGAGGGGGAUGGAAUUCCGCGUGUAGCAGUGAAAUGCGUAGAUAUGCGGAGGAACACCGAUGGCGAAGGCAAUCCCCUGGGCCUGCACUGACGCUCAUGCACGAAAGCGUGGGGAGCAAACAGG
rnacentral:rRNA from 1 species